AACUGACACCAAUCUGACAUUUUCUCGUUGCCACCCGUAGUGUACAGCUUUUUUACAUCUUUGGUUUUCAUUAUUUUCGCAGAUUUGCAAUAAACUAAAACGUCCUUUUUUGCAGGAAACAAGGCAAUACAAAAUAAGGGGAAAUUUCGUUACCAAAAAUAAUAAGAAAUAAAAUCGUCAAAAGUGUGAAAGCUAAACGUAUCAUAAAAUGUGUACUAGGAGCAAAGCUUUGAAGCAAUUGGAGGAACAUAUCGAGUCAAACACAUACAAGUAAAAUGCAAAAUUUUGGCAGUGGGUUGUAGAAAAGUUAUAAAACGCGUUAAAACGUUCGCAAUUAAACGAGACUUCUUUGGCUGAGUGAAAAAACUUGUAUCAAAACUAGUAAUAAAGUUUCUAUUUCACGUAUCGAAAGACGGAAAAAUUGGCUACCGCUUAUACCAAAACUGGUCAUAAACGUACAUAUAUUAAGGAAUCAAAAACAAAUCCAUAUAGCGUAAACAGUUCCGGCUCAUACUUAAUUCCAGUAAACAAUCCACGAAACGCAGAGAACAGUAUCUCAGAAGCUGUACAAGCCAGAGAAAAAUCAGUGAAUAUACAUAAAAAUCUGCAACCUUAUACAUAUAUGUACAUAAACACAUUCGCUUUGAUUCAAGGACACUACGCUUACUUUCUUCUGAAGCUAUAUCGCCUGAAUAUCUCUUAAAACCUUUCGGAACAGUAAUAAUUCAAUCAUAAUUUUUUAGAACGAUUUCCAAAAUUGUUUCGUAUCAAAAUUGAAGUAGAGUAAAUUGGACUGAAAUGCGCCCGGCCAUACAACCAGGUAUACGCGUAGUACGUGGACCAAACUGGAUUUGGCAAAAUCAAGAAAUCAAAAAUCGAAUAUGGGUCAAUAAUAAUAAUUGUAC